rfam:Pseudobutyrivibrio xylanivorans DSM 14809 genome assembly, contig: EJ90DRAFT_scaffold00031.31
CGGGGUGUGGCUCAGUUGGUAGAGCGCCGCGUUCGGGACGCGGAAGUCGCGAGUUCAAGUCUCGCUACUCCGA